rnacentral:sRNA from 1 species
CCCUAGCCCUGAUAGAAACGGCUUCCUUUUCUGCUUCCUUCAAGCAGAAAAAGAUAUAGUGGAUAGCAGGAAUUUCU